CCCCUACCUAGCGCAAAUUCUCCCUUCAGAGACCCUACUUCUUCUCUAGCUACCUUAGUCUUUUUUGAGUCCUCUGGCUGCGGCUUCAUUGUUCAUGGCCCUCUCUGCCAUUUCUUCGAACACAACCUUGGAGUCCCCAUCUUCGCUACUGAAAAAGACUCUUACUUUCUUCGCUCACUAGAAUCACAGUUUUUCAAAUACUGCUCGGCCGUUAGUGGACAUGAAUUACGAAAGUAAACCUAAACCACAACACUGCACCUGAUAAUGCAAAAGAUACUGUCUUGGAAACCCAUGAUGGGAAAGGCAUAAGGUGCAUGAAUUACAAUGACAUUGCUGUCACUGGCAUGGAGGCUCCAGAUAUAAUUUGAUUUUUCCAGUUUUGAUUAGACAAGGUUGGCUGAAAGUGAUGACCCAGAUGCGAUUGAGCAUUCAAGUUUGUUUGGCGAAACUGUUUCCGAGGUCCGAGAGGUGUUUUGAACUGAGUGAAGGUGAAGUGGAAUCGCAAUUUUUUUGCGCCAGUGAUUUGGCUUCUUAUGAUGCUUUUAAUAGCCUGUUUCAGAUGAGGAAGAAGAAGUUGACGAGUCAUUGACGAAACUUUAUACAUCCUCUGGAGUGGCACCAUAAAUGGGCGGAACUGAAAAUUAAGGAAACUGAGUAUUAAUCACAAAAAUAUGAAAGAGAGCUUGCAGCAUGUGAGCUGAGAAGGCAGGCAACCUGAAGUUCAAUCUACACUUGGAAUAUUUUGCUUCAAAGGCACUACCAUUUUCAACUCAUUCUCAAAAUAGGAAGGCCAUAAAGAGGAGGAAACAAAAGAGAGUUAAAGAUACAAGUGAUAUGAAAUCAUACUCUGCACAUCAUAACCUUUUCUCUUGCCUUGAAAACAAGAGGAUGAAUCGUGAUGGUGCUCUUGCAGCUGAUGAUUUUGGUGCUACAGGUGACAAUUUACACCGAUUAUUUGUCUUCCUUUAUGCCAAGUCAAGUUGCUUAUAUCAAACACUCUCACGUCCUAAGGAUUGUCAUUUCACUUUCUUGUUCUGAAAGCUUGGUUGUUUCAUGAAUCAAUAACAUAGCUGUAGAUUUGGAACUGAA